rnacentral:rRNA from 1 species
GAUGAACGCUAGCGGCAGGCUUAACACAUGCAAGUCGAGGGGCAGCACGAUGUAGCAAUACAUUGGUGGCGACCGGCGCACGGGUGCGUAACACGUAUGGAAUCUGCCCUUUACUGGGGGAUAGCCCGGAGAAAUCCGGAUUAAUACCCCGUAAUAAGCGAGGUGGCAUCACCUUGCUUUGAAAGCUCCGGCGGUAAAGGAUGACCAUGCGCACGAUUAGCUAGUUGGUGAGGUAACGGCUCACCAAGGCUACGAUCGUUAGGGGGCCUGAGAGGGUUAUCCCCCACACUGGUACUGAGACACGGACCAGACUCCUACGGGAGGCAGCAGUGAGGAAUAUUGCGCAAUGGAGGCAACUCUGACGCAGCCAUGCCGCGUGCAGGAAGAAGGCGCUACGCGUUGUAAACUGCUUUUAUCCGGGAAGAAACCCCUGACGUGUCGAGGGUUGACGGUACCGGAGGAAUAAGCACCGGCUAACUUCGUGCCAGCAGCCGCGGU